CCUACGGGAGGCAGCAGUGGGGAAUAUUGCACAAUGGGGGAAACCCUGAUGCAGCGACGCCGCGUGGGCGAGGAAGUACCUCGGUAUGUAAAGCCCUAUCAGCAGGGAAGAAACAGGACAGUACCUGACUAAGAAGCCCCGGCUAACUACAUGCCAGCAGCCGCGGUAAUACGUAGGGGGCAAGCGUUAUCCGGAUUCACUGGGCGUAAAGGGAGCGCAGGCGGCAUGGCAAGUCUGAUGUGAAAACCCGGGGCCCAACCCCGGGAGUGCAUUGGAAACUGCCAGGCUGGAGUGUCGGAGGGGUAAGCGGAAUUCCCGGUGUAGCGGUGGAAUGCGUAGAUAUCGGGAGGAACACCAGAGGCGAAGGCGACUUACUGGACUGUAACUGACGCUGAGGCUCGAAAGCGUGGGGAGCAAACAGGAUUAGAUACCCGUGUAGUC
rnacentral:rRNA from 1 species